rnacentral:rRNA from 1 species
AUUGAACGCUGGCGGCAGGCCUAACACAUGCAAGUCGAGCGGAUGAAGGGAGCUUGCUCCUGGAUUCAGCGGCGGACGGGUGAGUAAUGCCUAGGAAUCUGCCUGGUAGUGGGGGAUAACGUCCGGAAACGGGCGCUAAUACCGCAUACGUCCUGAGGGAGAAAGUGGGGGAUCUUCGGACCUCACGCUAUCAGAUGAGCCUAGGUCGGAUUAGUUAGUUGGUGGGGUAAAGGCCUACCAAGGCGACGAUCCGUAACUGGUCUGAGAGGAUGAUCAGUCACACUGGAACUGAGACACGGUCCAGACUCCUACGGGAGGCAGCAGUGGGGAAUAUUGGACAAUGGGCGAAAGCCUGAUCCAGCCAUGCCGCGUGUGUGAAGAAGGUCUUCGGAUUGUAAAGCACUUUAAGUUGGGAGGAAGGGCAGUAAGUUAAUACCUUGCUGUUUUGACGUUACCAACAGAAUAAGCGCCGGCUAACUUCGUG